rnacentral:rRNA from 1 species
UACGUAGGGGGCAAGCGUUGUCCGGAAUUAUUGGGCGUAAAGAGCUCGUAGGCGGUCUGUUGCGUCCGCUGUGAAAACUCGGGGCUUAACCCCGAGCCUGCAGUGGAUACGGGCAGACUAGAGGUAGGUAGGGGGAGAAUGGAAUUCCCGGUGUAGCGGUGAAAUGCGCAGAUAUCGGGAGGAACACCGGUGGCGAAGGCGGUUCUCUGGGCCUUACCUGACGCUGAGGAG